GUAACGGCGAGUGAAGCGGCAACAGCUCAAAUUUGAAAUCUGGCCUCCUCGGGGUCCGAGUUGUAAUUUGUAGAGGGUGUUUCGGGCGCGAUGCCGGUCUAAGUUCCUUGGAACAGGACGUCGUAGAGGGUGAGAAUCCCGUAUGCGACCGGCGAUCAAGCCCGUGUGAAGCCCCUUCGACGAGUCGAGUUGUUUGGGAAUGCAGCUCAAAAUGGGUGGUAAAUUUCAUCUAAAGCUAAAUAUUGGCCGGAGACCGAUAGCGGACAAGUAGAGUGAUCGAAAGAUGAAAAGCACUUUGGAAAGAGAGUCAAACAGUACGUGAAAUUGUUGAAAGGGAAGCGCUUGCAAUCAGACCGGUCCGGAGGCGAUCAGCCGCUGCUCGUCAGCGGUGCACUCGCCUGCGAUCCGGCCAGCAUCGGUUUGGGCGGCGGGACAAAAGUCCCGGGAAUGUAGCUUCUCUCGGGGAGUCUUAUAGCCCGGGUCGCAAUGCCGCCCGCCCGGACCGAGGACCGCGCUUCGGCU
rnacentral:rRNA from 1 species